rnacentral:rRNA from 1 species
UACGUAGGUGGCAAGCGUUGUCCGGAAUUACUGGGCGUAAAGCGUGCGCAGGCGGUUUUGUAAGUCUGACGUGAAAUCCCCGGGCUCAACCUGGGAAUUGCGUUGGAGACUGCAAGGCUGGAGUCUGGCAGAGGGGGGUAGAAUUCCACGUGUAGCAGUGAAAUGCGUAGAGAUGUGGAGGAACACCGAUGGCGAAGGCAGCCCCCUGGGUAAGACUGACGCUCAUGCACGAAAGCGUGGGGAGCAAACAGG